rnacentral:rRNA from 1 species
AGUGAACGCUGGCGGUAGGCCUAACACAUGCAAGUCGUACGGCAGCACAGUAAGAGCUUGCUCUUACGGGUGGCGAGUGGCGGACGGGUGAGGAAUACAUCGGAAUCUACUUUUUCGUGGGGGAUAACGUAGGGAAACUUACGCUAAUACCGCAUACGACCUACGGGUGAAAGCAGGGGAUCUUCGGACCUUGCGCGAUUGAAUGAGCCGAUGUCGGAUUAGCUAGUUGGCGGGGUAAAGGCCCACCAAGGCGACGAUCCGUAGCCGGUCUGAGAGGAUGAUCAGCCACACUGGAACUGAGACACGGUCCAGACUCCUACGGGAGGCAGCAGUGGGGAAUAUUGGACAAUGGGCGCAAGCCUGAUCCAGCCAUACCGCGUGGGUGAAGAAGGCCUUCGGGUUGUAAAGCCCUUUUGUUGGGAAAGAAAAGCAGCAGGUUAAUACCCCGCUGUUCUGACGGUACCCAAAGAAUAAGCACCGGCUAACUUCGUG